rnacentral:rRNA from 1 species
AAAAAAAAUCAAUUCAGCAUGUUAAAAAAAAAAAAUCCCGAGCUCAUGUGAUCUUGGAAGCUAAGCAGGGUCGGGCCUGGUUAGUAUUUGGAUGGGAGACCUCCUGGGAAUACCGGGUGCUAUAGGCU